rnacentral:rRNA from 1 species
AGUGAACGCUGGCGGUAGGCCUAACACAUGCAAGUCGAACGGCAGCACAGGAGAGCUUGCUCUCUGGGUGGCGAGUGGCGGACGGGUGAGGAAUACAUCGGAAUCUACUCUGUCGUGGGGGAUAACGUAGGGAAACUUACGCUAAUACCGCAUACGACCUACGGGUGAAAGCAGGGGACCUUCGGGCCUUGCGCGAUUGAAUGAGCCGAUGUCGGAUUAGCUAGUUGGCGGGGUAAAGGCCCACAAAGGCGACGAUCCGUAGCUGGUCUGAGGGGACGAUCAGCCACACUGAAACUGAGACACGGUACAGACUCCUACGGGGGUCAGCAGUGGGGAAGAUUGGACAAUGGGCGCAAUCCUGAUCCAGCAAUACCGCGUGGGUGAAGAAGGCCUUCGGGUUGUAAAGCCCUUUUGUUGGGAAAGAAAUCCAGCUGGCUAAUACCCGGUUGGGAUGACGGUACCCAAAGAAUAAGCACCGGCUAACUUCGUGCCAGCCGCCGCCGUAA